rnacentral:rRNA from 1 species
AUACGGAGGGUGCAAGCGUUAAUCGGAAUUACUGGGCGUAAAGCGUACGUAGGCGGUUCGUUAAGUUAGAUGUGAAAGCCCCGGGCUUAACCUGGGAACUGCAUUUAAAACUGGCGAACUAGAGUUGAGUAGAGGGGAGUGGAAUUUCAGGUGUAGCGGUGAAAUGCGUAGAGAUCUGAAGGAACACCAGUGGCGAAGGCGACUCCCUGGACUCGAACUGACGCUGAGGUACGAAAGCGUGGGUAGCAAACGGGAUUAGAUACCCGGGUAGUCC